UAACAAAUUAAUAUUAGUAUUAUAAGAAAAUUCAUGCUAUCCAGUGAGUUUACUCGUAAGUAAAACUUUUCGCACAGUGAAUUUUUGACAUGCGAUUACAGAUAGUCAAUUAAUUCCAUGUGUAUAAUACACGCAGACAUCAAAUUACAAUAUCUCGACGGAAGUUCGACAGUUAAUUGGACAAAAAAUAGUCCUAUCCGGAUACGAGAUGGUUCUAAAAAAAACUCUGCUUUGCACAUGUCGAUGUAAUGUUCCGGUCUAAAAAAAAAACGUCUGUAGAUAUUAACGUUCUUAAUCUUGACUACCAUUUAUAAUUGAUGCUCCUAAUUUUCUAUACUCAAGUAUUUCCAUUUAAAUUCUAAUAUUGUUUUAAUAUAGACAUAGUAAACACAUGAAUAUAGGACUUUACAUAUAAAAGGUUUUAUUGUAAAGAUACGUUAAAUAUAAAUUUCAUUAGUCUUGUUUUGUUAAAAAUAAAGCGAAAUAUUAUAUCGUUUCCUCUGUAGCAUUCACAAGCUGGUGGUCGGUCAUAACACAGCCGAGUUAGCAGCUCACAAUAGAACAAGCAAAACCCAGGUAAAAGUUUUUGUACCACCCAUUCACCUUGCGAAAACCGUCUUACUUUAAAUUAAUGUAAUAACGUCUGACAGCGCAUCCAUUGACAGUUUUAUUGAGUUUGUUUCAUAAACAAGCAAUAAACAUGCAUAACAUUAUGAACUAUUGAGGUAAAUGGUGAUAAGUUCUAUCAAUGGAAUAUAAUUAUAGUCUGUCCUAUGGCCGAGGCGAUCGUUCGAUAUCAGCGUACUUCAUUACAUGAGAGAUUGCUGUUUUUAAUAUUUUCGCUCGGAAUAGUGUAAAUGACGUGUUACAUAAGCGGUUCAUUCGAUUUAGCUGUAGUAGGCAGUAGUAUGACAUCAGGCGGUCCCGUAUGGUUAUAGCGUUAUCGCUCGUCCUUGACACAGAGACGCUGCGUGCACAACGCGCCUUAUUGUCGCUGCAACCUUGCGGAAAUCGCUCUCUUAUAUAUUUAAUUGAUACUCCGGUAUCAACGACCAGUCUACACUCUACGUACACUAUAACAUCCACCGAGGCGGUGUGAAUACUCUGCUAGCCACAUAAGCACACGUGUAGCUGUAGUAUGCCUUAUCAAUGGGGAGUAUUUUUAACUUUAGAUGUGGUAGGAUCGAGAUGCUCAGCAGCAGGACGAAAGUGGGCGGCGUGGUACGACUCUCGCCGACCGGAAACCUAAUUCCCGGAUGCGGCCGCGGGGGAUCUCGCCGGAAGCUCGAUAAACGAGCACAUCCGUUGCCGUCGCUCGCGCCGCAAAAUUUGGCACCGCGAGCGCUCGCAGCCCACUUCCGGCCCCCUCCCCCCUCGACGACCCCGUUCGCCUGCGAAAAUAGCGGCCGACCGCUUCGUGUACGCGGUUCAUUCAGUAUGGCCGCCUUCCAUUCAUAAAAAGGCGAGGCGCGUUAUGGGGGACGCGGGCGGCGGGGCGCUGCUCUCCGCCGCCGCUCCCUCGCCCGACGCCAGUGCGGAAUGUGCCAGCGAAUGGAGCGGUCGUUUCGUCGGAGCGUAGCGCUAACGCUCCCGGUUUUCCAUUAAAAUGUGUAUAAGAAUAAGUGCAGUGAAUCCGCACGAGUUCGGAACGGUCACGAGAAUCGCCGUCGUCGAGAUCGGGAGUAGAAAUCAACGAAGAACUUCACCGAGGAAAAAUCUAUUUAGGAAGAAAGCUACUGUAGAGGGAAGACACGAAAAAUGUAAGCUUGGACUUAGAGGAUUAUUUAUAGCAAGAGACCAAUGAAGAUAACCUGAAAUUCACUCGACCUGAUGGAUUGGAUUCGGAUAUAU